AUGCCGCCUAGCUUGAGAACACUUUGUAUGGUGAAUUGCGAUAAAUUAAUGAGCAGCCCGUCUCUUACUUUGAUGGACAUGCUUACCAAUCUUGAAAUUGAAGGUCCAUGUGAUGGUGUUGAGUCCUUCCCCAAAAAGGGUUUUGCAAUGCUGCCUCCCUCUCUUAUCUAUCUGACUCUACGUAAUUUGUCAAGUCUGCGCACAUUGGAGUGUUAG